rnacentral:rRNA from 1 species
AAUUUUCCGCAAUGGGCGAAAGCCUGACGGAGCAACGCCGCGUGAGGGAGGAAGGCCUUCGGGUCGUAAACCUUUGUCAUCGAGGACGAUAAUGACGGUACUCGAGGAGGAAGCCCCGGCUAACUACGUGCCAGCAGCCGCGGUAACACGUAGGGGGCGAGCGUUGUCCGGAAUUACUGGGCGUAAAGGGCGCGUAGGCGGCCCAAUAAGUCAGAUGUGAAAGUCCUGGGCUUAACCCAGGGAUUGCAUUUGAAACUGUUGGGCUUGAGGACAGGAGAGGAAAGCGGAAUUCCCAGUGUAGCGGUGAAAUGCGUAGAUAUUGGGAGGAACACCAGUGGCGAAGGCGGCUCUCUGGACUGUCCCUGACGCUGAGGCGCGAAAGCCAGGGGAGCGAACG